rnacentral:lncRNA from 1 species
CUCCACAAUGCUCCUCAAAGCUUUUUUGCAACUCUCCCCAAAUUGCCCUUUUCCGUUUUUUUGCCUUAUAACCCCACAAAAUUGGAGUUCUCUACCACUCAAAAGUUGCAUGAUAAAUUUCAAAAAGCAAGGUUAUAUUUGGUAUUUCAUAACCUAUUUACACACUGUCCAAUGUUAAAAUAUUCCAAUUUCAAAUUUCAUAUUCUCCCUCUUUUUCUCCCUUUAUAAUCAAUUUGUGUUUUCUCUCUCUUAAUCUACUCAUAUUCAUGUUCUAUCUUCUCUUUCAUUUUCUCUUUUCUUCUGCAUAUUUUUUCCUUACUACUAAUGUUUGUUCUUCUUAUUUUGCAGAGAAAGAAGAAUAAAAGAAAAUNNNNNNNNNNNNAAAUUUGUUGCAGAAAAUAAAUAAGAGCUUAGAAGAUGCACUUCUCCAAAAAUAAAUAAAAAGUCAAGCAAAUGAAUAUCAAUCUUCACUAAUUUCUUUUUCAUUAAACAAAAAACAGCAGCACCGCAUACUUAUCAAAAGCAUUGUUAUCAUUUUAUUUUUCACUAAUUAAUGCAAUAAUAUGUUUUUUUCUUUCAGGAUACAUGAUACAAACAAAAAUGAGAAGAAAACAAGAAACGGAGGUAAAAACAACUACUUAACACUUAUUGAUGCUCAAUAUUAUUUUUUAGCUUUAUAUUAUAUUUGCUGUUCUGAAGAAUAAAAACAACUACUUUUUUGAAAAAAAAUUGUUGCAGAAGAACAAAAAGACAAUAACGAUUUUAAUAAAUAAACAAAUAAAAUUAACAGAUCUAGAAUCAAAUAGAAUAAAAGAGCCAAAAAAAUUGAUUUUGUUUUUUUGCUUUUUAUUUCCAUGCACAGAAACAAUAAAAAGUUUGAUUUUUUUUUCAUUUUCAUUUUUUUUGUAAGGCUUUCUAUUAUUUAUAUAUACAGAAGCAAUAAAAAACUUUUUAAUAAAAAAUAGAGAUUAGUCAAAAAAAUUAAAAAAUUGAGAGAUUAGUCCAAACAAAAAUAAAGAGAGAGAGAGAAUUGCAACCGUUAGCUAAGAGAGAAGAGACAAGAAUAAGAAAUGGGUAGUUGAGAAUUAAAUGGAUGUUGGAAAUAGUUGAGAAAUUUAUGGCUUUUUUUUUGUAAAAAAUUUGUUUUUAUUUUUAUAGUAGACAUAAAAAUUACUUUUAUCUAUACCAAAAAAAAAUACUUUUAUCUUCUUAUUAACCAAAAAGAAAAAAAAAUCAUGAUCUUUUUUAUAAAAAAAAGUAUAUCAUCAUAAAUAACAAUUUUUAAGACCCAAAUUUAAA